AUGGCCAAACGGGAAGUGAUACAAGUGAACUUCACGGUAGACCAGAUCCGGGCCAUCAUGGACAAGAAGGCCAACAUCCAUAACAUGUCUGUCAUUGCCCACGUGGAUCAUGAUAAGUCCACGCUGACAGACUCCCUGGUAUGCAAGGCAGGCAUCAUUGCAUCGGCCCGGGCUGGGGAAACAUGAUUCACUGACACCCGGAAGGAUGAGCAGGAGCGUUGUAUCACCAUCAAGUCAACUGCCAUCUCCCUUUUCUAUGAGCUUUCUGAAAAUGACUUGAACUUCAUUAAGUAGAGCAAGGAUGGCUCUGGUUUCCUCAUCAACCUCAUUGACUCUCCUGGGCAUGUAGACUUUUCCUCAGAGGUGACAGCUGCCCUCCGAGUCACUGAUGGCGCCUUGGUGGUGGUGGACUGUGUGUCAGGCGUGUGUGUACAGACAGAGACGGUGCUGAGGCAAGCCAUUGCUGAGUGCAUCAAGCCUGUACUGAUGAUGAACAAAAUGGACCAUGCUCUGCUUGAGCUGUAGCUGGAGCCUGAGGAACUCUACCAGACCUUCCAGCGUAUCAUGGAGAACGUGAAUGUCAUCAUCUCCACCUACGGGGAGGGCGAGAGUGGUCCCAUGGGCAACAUCAUGAUUGACCCUGUCCUUGGCACUGUGGGUUUUGGGUCUGGCCUCCAUGGUUGGGCCUUCACCCUGAAGCAGUUCGCAGAGAUGUACGUGGCCCAGUUUGCAGCCAAGGGCGAGGGCCAGCUUGUGCUAGCUGAGCGGGCCAGGAAAGUGGAGGACAUGAUGAAGAAGCUGUGGGGUGACCGGUACUUUGACCCAGCCAAUGGCAAAUUCAGCAAGUCAGCCACCAGCCCUGAUGGAAAGAAGCUUCCCCAGACGUUCUGUCAGCUCAUCUUAGAUCCCAUCUUCAAGGUAUUUCACGCAAUCAUGAAUUUCAAGAAAGAGGAGACAGCAAAACUGAUUGAAAAAUUGGACAUCAAGUUGGACAGUGAAGAUAAGGACAAAGAAGGCAAACCUCUGCUGAAGGCUGUGAUGCGCCCCUGACUGCCUGCCGGGGAUGCCCUGUUGCAGAUGAUCACCAUCCACCUGCCUUCCCCCAUGACAGCCCAGAAGUACCCUGUGAACUUCUGUACAAGGGGCCCCCAGAUGAUGAGGCUGCCAUGGGCAUUAAAAACUGUGACCCCAAAGGCCCCCUUAUGAUGUACAUUUCCAAAAUGGUGCCAACCUCUGACAGAGGUCGAUUUUAUGCCUUCGGACGUGUCUUCUGGGGCUGGUGUCUACUGGCCUGAAGGUCAGGAUCAUGGGGCCCAACUAUACCCCCAGGAAGAAGGAGGACCUCUACCUGAAGCCCAUCCAGAGAACAAUUCUGAUGAUGGGCCGCUACGUGGAGCCCAUAGAGGACGUGCCUUGCAGGAACAUUGUGGGCCUGGUGGGUGUUGACCAGUUCCUGGUGAAGACGGGCACCAUCACCACCUUUGAGCAUGCCCACAACAUGAGGGUGAUGAAGUUCAGUGUCAGUCCUGUUGUCAGGGUUGCCAUGGAAGCCAAGAACCCAGCUGACCUGCCUAAGCUGGUAGAGGGGCUGAAGCGCCUGGCCAAGUCUGACCCCAUGGUGCAGUGCAUCAUUAAGGAGUCUGGGGAGCAUAUUAUUGCGGGCACCAGUGAGCUGCACCUGGAAAUCUGCCUGAAGGACCUGGAGGAGGACCACGCCUGCAUCCCCAUCAAGAAAUCUGACCCAGUUGUCUCAUAUCGUGAGACAGUUAGCGAGGAGUCCAGAGUGCUCUGCCUCUCUAAGUCCCCCAACAAGCACAACCGGCUCUACAUGAAGGCUGGGCCCUUCCCUGAUGGUCUGGCUGAGGACAUCGACAAGGUAGAGGUGUCUGCCCAAACAUUCUCAGUGACAUCACCAAGGGCGUGCAGUACCUCAAUAAAAUCAAGGACAGCGUGGUGGCUGGCUUCCAGGGGGCCACCAAGGAGGGAGCACUGUGUGAAGAGAACAUGCGGGGUGUGCGCUUUGAUGUUCAUGAUGUGACAUUGCAUGCAGAUGCCAUCCACCGUGGGGGUGGACAGAUCAUCCCCACAGCCCGGCACUGCCUAUAUGCCAGUGUGCUGACUGCCCAGCCCCGGCUCAUGGAGCCCAUCUACCUUGUGGAAAUACAAUGUCCAGAACUAGUGGUUGGUGGCAUAUACGGUGUACUGAACAGGAAGUGGAGCCAUGUCUUCGAGGAGUCCCAGGUGGCUGGCACCCCCAUGUUUAUUGUUAAAGCCUACCUGCCCGUCAAUGAGUCCUUUGGUUUCACUGCCAACUUGAGGUCCAACACGGGUGGCCAGGCCUUCCCCCGGUGCGUGUUUGACAACUGGCAGAUCCUGCCCGGAGACCCCUUUGACCACACCAGUCACCCCAGCCAGGUUGUGGCAGAGACCCAUAAGUGCAAAGGCCUGAAGGAAGGCAUCCCAGCCCUGGACAACUUCCUGGACAAAUUGUAGGCUGCCCCUGCUGCAGUGCCCCCCCACUUGGGUGGGAUGGGCUCAGCACCCACACUCAGUUUGACCACAGCAACACGUCCUCAUUCUCAGACAACACCUCGAGACUAUCCCGACACAACACAGUGAUGCUCCACCUGAGAGGCUCUGGGCCAUCGCUCAACAUUAACACUUGAUGCUGUUUCUUUUGAUAUUUAUUUCCAGAUUGCAAGGGCAGCAGAAAUGCCCUCUUAUAAAGGACUGAUUUGGCCGGUGGGGCAGAGGGAGGAGGGAAUGGGACACUCAACUUUUUUUUUCCAUUUUUUCAGAGGGAAACUCAGAUGUCCAAAAAUUUGUAAAUGAACGCAUUAAGAGGUAUAUUUGGGCAAAUGGCCCAUAGUGGUUUUUUCCCCCAGAAAGGAGAAAGGAACAGCGGGUAGGUAAUUUCUAGAAGGCAGGGAGUCCUGUGUGGUGUGACCAUGAGCAACUCCAGCUGUGUUAGUGCCAUUGGAAUAAUACAUUUGAUACGGUGGUGA